UACGUAGGGGGCUAGCGUUGUCCGGAAUCAUUGGGCGUAAAGCGCGUGUAGGCGGUCCGGUAAGUCCGCUGUGAAAGUCGAGGGCUCAACCCUCGAAUGCCGGUGGAUACUGUCGGGCUUGAGUACGGGAGAGGCGAGUGGAAUUCCUGGUGUAGCGGUGAAAUGCGCAGAUAUCAGGAGGAACACCGAUUGCGAAGGCAGCUCGCUGGAACGUUACUGACGCUGAGACGCGAAAGCGUGGGGAGCGAACAUG
rnacentral:rRNA from 1 species